CAGAGGGGGCAAGCGUUGUUCGGAAUUACUGGGCGUAAAGGGCGCGUAGGCGGCCGCCUAAGUCAGACGUGAAAUCCCUCGGCUCAACCGGGGAACUGCGUCUGAUACUGGGUGGCUUGAAUCCGGGAGAGGGAUGCGGAAUUCCAGGUGUAGCGGUGAAAUGCGUAGAUAUCUGGAGGAACACCGGUGGCGAAGGCGGCAUCCUGGACCGGCAUUGACGCUGAGGCGCGAAAGCCAGGGGGAGCAAACGGGAUUAGAUACCCCGGUAGUCCUGGCCCUAAACGAUGAGUGCUUGGUGUGGCGGGUAUCGAUCCCUGCCGUGCCGAAGCUAACGCAUUAAGCACUCCGCCUGGGGAUACGGUCGCAAGGCUG
rnacentral:rRNA from 1 species